AUACGGAGGGUGCGAGCGUUAUCCGGAUUUAUUAGGUUUAAAGGGUGUGUAGGCGGGAGCCUAAGUCAGUGGUGAAAUCUCACAGCUUAACUGUGAAACUGCCAUUGAAACUGGGUUUCUUGAGUAUAGUUGAGGUAGGCGGAAUGUGUAAUGUAGCGGUGAAAUGCAUAGAUAUUACACAGAACACCGAUUGCGAAGGCAGCUUACUAAGCUAUUACUGACGCUGAUGCACGAAAGCGUGGGUAGCGAACAGGAUUAGAUACCCGCGUAGUCC
rnacentral:rRNA from 1 species